AUUGAAUCAUAGGGGCAGUUCUUUCCCAUGCUGUUCUCAUGAUAGUGAACAACUGUCACAAGAUCUGAUGGUUUUAAAAAGUGGGGUUUCUCUGCGCAAGCCCUCUUCGCUUGUCUGCCACCAUGUGAGAUAUGCCUUUCACCUUCCGCCAUGAUUGUGAGGCUUCACCAGGCACCUGGAACUAGAUAAGGUCUAACUGUUACCUGGGCUGAACCCUUGGACUUCUAGGCUCAAGUGAUUCUCUCACUUUCCAAGUAGCUGGGACUACAGGCACAUGCCACCGGAUAUGGAGCUUUACUGGGGCAGAUCAACACGGCCUCAGGCAAUCCAUCAGUAGAGUGAGACCAAAGAAGUUUACCUUUACUUAGCAUAUCUAUAUAGCAAACCUGCACAUGUAUCCCUGAACCCAGAAUAAAAAUUAAAAAAUAAAAUAAAAUAAAUGUAAAAGAGAGAUCAUAUUCUUUUAUUUGAGAAAUACUAAUCCAUAAUACUAUCUUAUAUAUUAUCUGAACAAUAAAACUAUCAUAUAAAUUUUUUU
rnacentral:lncRNA from 1 species